rnacentral:rRNA from 1 species
CGAAUACCGGAGAAUGUUAUCACGGGAGACACACGGCGGGUGCUAACGUCCGUCGUGAAGAGGGAAACAACCCAGACCGCCAGCUAAGGUCCCAAAGUCAUGGUUAAGUGGGAAACGAUGUGGGAAGGCCCAGACAGCCAGGAUGUUGGCUUAGAAGCAGCCAUCAUUUAAAGAAAGCGUAAUAGCUCACUGGUCGAGUCGGCCUGCGCGGAAGAUGUAACGGGGCUAAACCAUGCACCGAAGCUGCGGCAGCGACGCUUAUGCGUUGUUGGGUAGGGGAGCGUUCUGUAAGCCUGUGAAGGUGUACUGUGAGGUAUGCUGGAGGUAUCAGAAGUGCGAAUGCUGACAUAAGUAACGAUAAAGCGGGUGAAAAGCCCGCUCGCCGGAAGACCAAGGGUUCCUGUCCAACGUUAAUCGGGGCAGGGUGAGUCGACCCCUAAGGCGAGGCCGAAAGGCGUAGUCGAUGGGAAACAGGUUAAUAUUCCUGUACUUGGUGUUACUGCGAAGGGGGGACGGAGAAGGCUAUGUUGGCCGGGCGACGGUUGUCCCGGUUUAAGCGUGUAGGCUGGUUUUCCAGGCAAAUCCGGAAAAUCAAGGCUGAGGCGUGAUGACGAGGCACUACGGUGCUGAAGCAACAAAUGCCCUGCUUCCAGGAAAAGCCUCUAAGCAUCAGGUAACAUCAAAUCGUACCCCAAACCGACACAGGUGGUCAGGUAGAGAAUACCAAGGCGCUUGAGAGAACUCGGGUGAAGGAACUAGGCAAAAUGGUGCCGUAACUUCGGGAGAAGGC